GUAUUCUACCUCCAACCAGCAUGAGAUAGGAUAUAUUCUGGAAUGAGGACUUUCCUUACGGUGCUUCUCCUUUGCUGUUCACAAGUAAAUGUGCUUGUUAUUUCUGUGUCACAGUAAGAGUUUGGUGUUCACUGAACAGCUAACACGAACUUUGAAAAACUAUGAUGCAGAUAAUGACACAUUCCAGUCUAAGCUGUGAAGUUAUUCCUUACUGUACUUCAAAUAAAAUCCAAAUUCUUGAUCUUGGCUUGCAAAUCCUUUCAUAGUGCUAUUCUCUUGGUCAGGUCUCUAAGUGUAUCUCUAUCAUUUUCUGUCACUCUGCUUU
rnacentral:lncRNA from 10 species